AACAUUGAGCCUUGAUGUGUAGGAUAGGUGGGAGGCUUUGAAGUGUGGACGCCAGUCUGCAUGGAGCCGACCUUGAAAUACCACCCUUUAAUGUUUGAUGUUCUAACGUUGGCCCGUAAUCCGGGUUGCGGACAGUGUCUGGUGGGUAGUUUGACUGGGGCGGUCUCCUCCUAAAGAGUAACGGAGGAGCACGAAGGUUGGCUAAUCCUGGUCGGACAUCAGGAGGUUAGUGCAAUGGCAUAAGCCAGCUUGACUGCGAGCGUGACGGCGCGAGCAGGUGCGAAAGCAGGUCAUAGUGAUCCGGUGGUUCUGAAUGGAAGGGCCAUCGCUCAACGGAUAAAAGGUACUCCGGGGAUAACAGGCUGAUACCGCCCAAGAGUUCAUAUCGACGGCGGUGUUUGGCACCUCGAUGUCGGCUCAUCACAUCCUGGGGCUGAAGUAGGUCCCAAGGGUAUGGCUGUUCGCCAUUUAAAGUGGUACGCGAGCUGGGUUUAGAACGUCGUGAGACAGUUCGGUCCCUAUCUGCCGUGGGCGCUGGAGAACUGAGGGGGGCUGCUCCUAGUACGAGAGGACCGGAGUGGACGCAUCACUGGUGUUCGGGUUGUCAUGCCAAUGGCACUGCCCGGUAGCUAAAUGCGGAAGAGAUAAGUGCUGAAAGCAUCUAAGCACGAAACUUGCCCCGAGAUGAGUUCUCCCUGACUCCUUGAGGGUCCUGAAGGAACGUUGAAGACGACGACGUUGAUAGGCCGGGUGUGUAAGCGCAGCGAUGCGUUGAGCUAACCGGUACUAAUGAACCGUGAGGCUUAACCUU
rnacentral:rRNA from 1 species